UACGUAGGGUGCGAGCGUUGUCCGGAAUUACUGGGCGUAAAGAGCUCGUAGGUGGUUUGUCGCGUUGUUCGUGAAAACUCACAACUCAAUUGUGGGCGUGCGGGCGAUACGGGCAGACUGGAGUACUGCAGGGGAGACUGGAAUUCCUGGUGUAGCGGUGGAAUGCGCAGAUAUCAGGAGGAACACCGGUGGCGAAGGCGGGGUCUCUGGGGCAGUAACUGACGCUGAGGAGCGAAAGCGUGGGGAGCGAACAGG
rnacentral:rRNA from 1 species